UACGGAGGGUGCAAGCGUUAUCCGGAUUCACUGGGUUUAAAGGGUGCGUAGGCGGGUGAGUAAGUCAGUGGUGAAAUCUUCGAGCUUAACUCGGAAACUGCCGUUGAUACUACUUGUCUUGAAUACCGUGGAGGUGAGCGGAAUAUGUCAUGUAGCGGUGAAAUGCUUAGAUAUGACAUAGAACACCAAUUGCGAAGGCAGCUCACUACACGAAUAUUGACUCUGAGGCACGAAAGCGUGGGGAGCAAACAGG
rnacentral:rRNA from 1 species